UACAGAGGGUGCAAGCGUUAAUCGGAAUUACUGGGCGUAAAGCGUGCGCAGGCGGUCUGUUAAGACAGAUGUGAAAUCCCCGAGCUUAACUUGGGAAUUGCGCUCGAAACUACGGUGCUGGAGUAUGGCAGAGGAAGGUGGAAUUCCACGUGUAGCGGUGAAAUGCGUAGAGAUGUGGAGGAACACCGAUGGCGAAGGCAGCCCCCCUGGGAUAAUAUUGACGCUCAUGCACGAAAGCGUGGGGAGCAAACAGG
rnacentral:rRNA from 1 species